AUCCCCACAUGUCAUGGGAGGGAAGGUAAUUUAAUCAUGGGGGUGGUUACCCUCAUGCUGCUCAUGCUGUUCUCAUGAUAGUAAGCCAGUUCUCAUGAGAUCUGAUGGUUUUACGAGGGGCUUACCCCUUCACUCAGCUCUCAUACUUCUUCCAGCUGCCCUGUGAAGAAAGACGUGUUUGCUUUUCCUUCAGCCAUGAUUAGUCCUGUGAUGUUAUGAGAAAAAUGAUUUGAAAAUGAGCUUGAGGUUUCAGCCCUGGAGGCCUGAACAGACGAGCUGGCUGUGGCUAGUCACUCCCCCACCAGCCUUGGCCGUGCACUCAUGCCAUUCAGCAGAUUUGAUGAAGCCAGCUUUCAUGUUACGAGCUACCUCUGUGGAGAAGCCCACAUGUCAAGAGAGUGGAUGACCCUCUUGCCCACAGCCAGUGAGGAAUGGAGGCCCUGAGGCCAAUGGGCUACAAAGAACUAAAUCCUGUCAACAUUCAUAUGCAUGACCUUGGAAUCAGAUCCCACCCCCAUCAAGGCCUGACAUGACUGCAAUCCCAGCUGACAUUUUGAUUGUAGUCAUGUAAGAGUCCCAGAGGACCCAGUUAAGCUAGGCACAGUCUCUUAAUGCGGGGAAAUUGUGAAGUAAUUAGUACUGUUGUUUUGGGAUAAUGUGUUACGUAACAAGAGACAGGUGAUACAACAUCUCUGAGAUUCUCAACAUGUUUGGUAAAAAUAAUUAAACUGCUUUUAAUGUAUAUGUCAUGAUUAAUGUUAUCUAUAAUGAGUGUAUUAGGGAUACAUUAAUAUUCACAAAGACUAUAUAGCUAUUAACUAAUUGUUCUGUGGCUUAUAGACAUAAUUUUGGAUGAUUCGUUCUUUUUUUGCCACUAAUAAAUAUACAAAAACCUUUCAUGUUUUAAAAUGAAUAAAAAGUUAUAAUUCUGAAGAGGUCCUUUAUUUAAAUGAAACACACUAAAACCAUUGAAUUUUAAUAUUUAUAUUAUGAAAUGAUCUGCCACUGUUUUUUGUAAGUGUACCUGCUAUUAUGACUAUAUUUUCAAGUUAAAGAUUCAUGACGUUUUUGUGAGAAAAUAUUUUAAAAACUUGUUAAUUUUUUCAGAUUAACUACAAAAAAUCUAUUGUAAAAAUUUAUAAAAUACUAAUAAUUAAGUCUCUUUAUUUUCAUGUCAGUGCUCUUAAAAUAUAGGUUGUUUCAAAGACAGUAGCAAUAAAAAUGUCAAUUCAGAAUUCCUUCAGGGAUGACCCUAAGUCUAACAGGUAUAUCCUUUGAAACAAGAAAAAUAUCUAGCACCUUGGGAAAUGAAAAUAGUACAUUUUUAUUUUCUCUUAAUAAAAUUAACUCAGAUUGUCAAUUGUUUAUUGUUUCUGUUUGAUACCAUUGAGGUAUUUGUUCCAGAGAUAAAAAUAUGUAUGCUGAAAAUACUGGAAAUUUUUGGAUGUAUUUUAAAACAGAAAAGAACAAGACCAGGUGCGGGGGCUCAUGCCUGUAAUCCCAGAACUUUGGGAGACUGAGGUGGGUGGAUCACAAGGUGAAGAGUUCAAGACAAGCCUGGCCAAGAUGGUGA
rnacentral:lncRNA from 10 species